CUCAAGGUACGAGGCCUCAAUGAGUCAGUGGUGAUGUCAGCACUCAAGCGAGGGUUGCGGAAUAAAUACUUCAUUUUCUCCCUUGAUAGGAAGUUUCCGAGAGACUAUGCUGAUCUACUAGUCUAAGCUCUAAAGUAUACUCACAUGGAAGAAGCCCAAAAGUUGUACAAGCAAGCAAAAGGAAAGAAGACUUCCGAUAGGAAGAGAGAUCGAGAAGAACCCCAAGCAACUCAAAUCGAGAGGAAAUCUUCUCGAUUGCGAAAGAGCCACCGAUCGAGGAGUCCUCCUCCGAUGGUUGGACAGCUACACCCUUUUCUCAACCCUUCACUUUCAGAUUUUAGUGGAGAUCGAAGGUUAAGGAUAUCUAUGACGGCCUGACUCAAUAAAAUCUCCAUUAGACAAGAGAAGCAAGAGGAAGUAUUGUUGUUUUCAUCAAACACUGAAGAAUACAGUCAGCUCAAGGAUAAGAUUGAGAUUUUGAUCUGGAGAGACUACCUCAAUAAAUAUGUUCGGAAAUGGCAGAAUCAAGCACUCGACAAAAAGAACAAGGACAACUAACUAGCAAUCGGAGUCAUCAACAUCAUCAUCAUGUUUGCUGACGGCACGAGCUCCCC
rnacentral:lncRNA from 1 species